AUUUGCAGUGUAAAAAAGCUCCAUUUCCAUGGCGGCAGAUACUGUAACGAACCUUGAACCGAUUCAUACCUUCUUCAAGAACCUCGAAGCUCGACAGACCUUACUCACCACCAUAACUGACCUCAACAAAGCCCUAACCACCCAUUUCACCAACAUAAACAAUACUCUCUGUCAAAAAUCGGAAACCCUCGAUACUCAUGUCAAAAUUUUCAAGGAUAAGACGGAAGAUGCAUUACUGAAGAUCCAGAAUCGAGAGAAUGCCUUACCCGAUCGGGAAUCGAGCAUGGGUGCUCGAAUUGUGGAGAUGAAGGAUGCUGCUAUCUCUGAGAUUGAGAGUUUGGGGGAUUUAAGCGAGAAAAGCUUGGCUGAAGUGUUGAGGAGUUACUGUAAGAGAAUGGAUGCUAGCGGCCUUGUUGGAUUUAUUCAGACUAAGAGGAAGGAGCCUACGGGUUUGAGGAUGGAGAUUGCUGCUGCACUUGAAAGUUCUGUGGAUCCAAUGAGGUUGAUCUUGGAUGCAGCAGAGGAGUUUGUGGGGAGGAAGGUAGAGAAGAAGGCGAUACUGGCAGAUAGGAGGUGGGCUUGUGAUAUGUUAAUUCAGUCAGUUGUGCCAGCUGCGGAAGGGGGUUAUGGUGCAGGGAGGAGUUUGAAGGAGAGGGCAGCAAGGGUGUUGGAGAAAUGGAAGGGAGUUUUGGGCGGUGGGGACAGAAGCAGUGGAGUUUGCGCUGCUGAAGCAACAAUGUUUUUGCAGUUGGUUAUCGCAUUUGCGCUAAAAGAGAGGUUUGAGGAGGAGUUCCUUAGGAAGCUGGUGCUGGAAUUUGCUAACAGGAAAGAUAUGCCAAAGCUUGCCGUUGCCUUUGGAUUUGGUAACAAAAUAGGAGAUAUUAUUGAAGAGCUGUUGAAGAGCGGCAAAGAGGUUGAAGCAGUUUAUUUUGCUACAGAGUCUGGAUUAUCAGAGAGAUACCCUCCACUCUCACUUCUUAAGUUAUCUCUCAGGAACUGCCGAAGAAAUGCUAAUAACAUAUCAAAGAAGGGAAAAUUUAGUUCAGCUGCAGUGGACAAAGCUAACAGCAUAGAGUUGGAAGCUACUAAGGCUUUAAUAAAAUGUGUGGAAGAUCACAAGCUUGAACAAGAAUUUACUUUAGAAGGACUUAAACAACGGGUAACUGAGUUGGAGCAGGCCAAAGCAAAAAAGAAAAUGGGCACAACUCCUGAGAACAAACCUUCAAAAAAGCGGGGUCGUGGAGGUGGCACUGGCAGGUCCAGUGGUCCGUCCACCUCUCGGCCUGUUAAAUCUGGAAGAUCAUCAAAUGCCACAGCUUUCCGCUCCAGGAAUCCUCCUCAAUCACAUCAGGCUCCACCAAUUAGGUAUACAGGGGCACAUAGCUACACCAGCCAGAGUGUAUAUGAGGCACCUAGCGCGGUCUCAUAUGCUCCAGCUUAUAGCGGUACUCACACUCAAAGUCCAGCUAUACUUGCUCCACAAUAUGGAUAUGCACUUCAAGAAGCUGGAGUUAGUGGAGUGCGGAGUUAUCAUGGAUCAUAUGGAGGGGAGGCUGGUUAUAGUGCAUAUGAUUAUGCUCUCACUCCUGCGGCGCCUGCAUACCCACCUUCAUACCCCCCACAGUAGUACCAACUACUCAAAAAGAAUCCAGAUGACAUUUGUAGCUGCACCUUCUGUUUUAUACAUAGAAGAUGCAAGUUCUGAAAGUUUUGCGGUGCAGAAGGAAGUGUUAUAGAUGGAUAUUGAUUCACCUCUUCUGUAGCAUGUUUUAAGGUGUACCUUUAAUGCUAAAACUAUGUAUAGUUUAUUGAGGAAUGUAGUGGUUCAUUUUAACUUAAAAGUCUGUAAAACCAUCUUUGUUAUUCCACAUUGUGAAGAAAAUGAAACUUUUCAGUUUGCAAUGUCUCAAAUAUAAUUUACAAGUGGUUUU